ensembl:lincRNA
CUCAUCAUGUAUAAAAUGGCGCAGAAGGACACAAACUUUCCACUUGUUAAAGUGAAUCUCCCAGAAAAAGACAAGACAAACUCUACAUUAGAACACUGUUAGGAUAUGACAGGGUACCAAACGGAAAGGCGCAUCACCGCACUAGAUGGUUGAAGCCUGUCUAUGCUCUGAGCUCGCCCUCACAGGCGGAUGAUUGAUGAGGGAUGGGGGCAAGGCCGAGCACGCACAGCAUAAAGACCCAUACACGGCUCAAUAAAGCCGGGCCUGAGCGGGGAACGGCCGCGCUCAAUAGACGUUGGCGCGAGUAGAUUGAGGCCAACGGCAGAGAGGAAGGUGCUCUGUUGUCCCAUAAUCCAGUUAGCCAUUGAGCCACCAGCCGUCUGGAGCACGAUAGAGAGCAGCAGCGAAGGAUGGCCGAGGAGAGCAGAGGACAGAAAGGUUGGAUAGCCCAGAGGGGGGUUUGGGAGAGAGGCACAGCUCGAAGCCCCUGCUGAGAAAGACAGAGCGGGAGAGUGAAAGAGAAAAAUAUAAAAAAGCGAGACCAUUGCAGUCCCACGUCUGGAACAAACGGCAAAUGUGAAAGUGGAGAUGAAGCACAUUUAUUUGCAUACAGAAGCCAAAUAUAGGAAAGACAUUGUUUGUGUUGUUUAAAUAUAAUUCUCACUAAUAAAUUGAUAUCACAACGAUCAUCUCACAAUCGCAUCCCAACCAAGCAAUGACGUGGGAAAUAUUUUUCCAUCCAUCUCACUGAAACGUCAUUCAGUUUUACGCAGACUUAUUAUGCUAGUCGGUAAAUUUCCAAUAGAUGUCCAGCACAGGUUCACAAAGGAGGAGGAAUAUCUCAAUGUGAACAUGAAUAGGCAGCCAUCAGGAUCCGUCAUAAGUGCUCCAUACGUGGCCUGCACACCAUGCUCUCUGCUCUUCUCCACCUCAUCAUUUACAAACACAGCAUCAGUCAAAAACACAAUUAGUAGGCCCUAAUCCCCUGCCAGGAGUGCCUUUCAUCCAGCCAAGGCCACAGACAAGGUAUCCUGCAGAACUGCCUUGUUCCUGGAGGCCAAAGAGACAGAGAGAGUGAUGGGAAAUGAGAGGGAUGGAGCAAUCAUGCUGCACUCAUGCUGCCUGCUGUGUUUCUCAGCAGGGUUUUCACAGCUCUCAUCUUUCUCUGCUUUUUAUAAUUAAUAUUUUACAGAAUUUGGUUGAUGAUUCUCGAGAUACUUUUGAAGGAUGAUUAGUGUUUUUAUUAUUGAUCGCUUUGUGGUUAUAUCUACUGAGACGUAUGAAGGUUUACAACAGAAUAGCGUGUGGAUGAUAUUCAUCACAAUGUAUCUCGUAUCAUCAUUUUGCUAUAUGAACCACUUGUAUUCUACAGCCCUCUGAUUCUCACAGUGCUGAGAAACAUCUGUGUUUGUUUUUCUUACAUGUCUUUUGUUGAGGAAGGCCACAUGACUUUUAUUUAUUGAAUGAAAUGUUUUGAUUUUGGUUUCUGCAUCAAAUUAAAAAUGAGCAAAAGUGAUUUUAUAGACCAUCAUUAUCAUCCUGGUAAAAUUAAUUAUCAAAAUAUGGGUGAAAUAAUGGGUGUCCAUUUUUAUUCAGCAUAUGACAUAUUAAUGAAAAUAAGAAACAACACUGAAGUGACUUAUUAAAUUACAAAAAGUACUUUUUUACUAAAAAAAAAAGAUUUUACUAUAUCAAGUUGCAGAUUUUUGCUGAUAAAUGGGUAAAAACUAGUGAUUUAAAGCAUAGUACCAAUGUAUAAAAAUCUGAAAUAACAAUUAAUUAGUACUUUGGGGCUUCAUUGUGAUUAGUACAUAAUCUUUUAAUAAGUCAUGAGAUGAUAACUGUUCUAAAUAUGACUGACUUUUUUUUUUUGAUGGAUUGUUACAGAGAAAUGACAUUUUAGUGGGCUCAAAUCAUGAUAGAAAUGUAUGAAAGAGCAAUAUGCUGCAUAUAUAUUGAUAGUUUUUAAUACAUUGCAAAUAUUUUACACUCAUGUUGGAGAAAAUAUUUUUAAUAAAGGUCAAUAUUCCAAAUUUUA